UUGCAUCUGUCUCUUAUACACACUCUGUGGAACCUCUGAACACUUGAAUUUAGUUUCGUUGUGAAAUUCAAAAAGCUCUACGACAAACCAGUUUACCAUAGCAAGAUAAUGUGCUACGUGUGUGUGCGUGUGAGAGAGAGAGAAAGCUUUACAUAGAUACAAGUACUCACGAAAGCAAAAGCUCUCUUUUUCUCUGAACGAGCUUUCGCAGACGUCAACGGGCAAUGAGGUUCUCCAAAUUGCAUAUGUGACGUCAGAGUCUUCACUUGCCUACACUUGACGAACAAUGGAUAUGCGGAAUGAUUUGUUACCUUACUACACUUUGCCCUGACCUCAAUGACCGGUUUCCUAGCCGGCCGGCAAUUUGUAUGAAAAAAUAAUGUAAAUAAAUAUCUAUAUAAGUA